UGCAUAUCAAUAAGCGGAGGAAAAGAAACCAACAGGGAUUGCCUCAGUAGCGGCGAGUGAAGCGGCAAGAGCUCAGAUCUGAAAUCGUGCUUUGCGGCACGAGUUGUGGAUUGCAGGUUGGAGUCUGUGUGGAAGGCGGUGUCCAAGUCCCUUGGAACAGGGCGCCCAGGAGGGUGAGAGCCCCGUGGGAUGCCGGCGGAAGCAGUGAGGCCCUUCUGACGAGUCGAGUUGUUUGGGAAUA
rnacentral:rRNA from 1 species